rnacentral:rRNA from 1 species
GAUGAACGCUGACAGAAUGCUUAACACAUCAGCAAUUGAUUGGUGGCGGACGGGUGAGCAACGCGUAAAGAACUUCCCUCACAGCUAGGGCCACCAUUUAGAAAUGAAUGCUAAUACCUGAUACUGUGAGAGAGCUUUGCGUCACAUUAGCUAGUUGGAGAGGUAACUGCUCACCAAGGCGAGGAUGGGUAGCCGGCCUGAGAGGGUGAAAGGCCACAAAGGGACUUGGAAACGGGCAGUACUGCUACUGGAGGCAGCAGUGCGGAACAUAGGACAAUGGGCCGAAGUCUGAUGAAGAAAUUCGGGUUGUACAAUGAAGUUUUCGGGAUGUAAAGUGUAUUGAGUUGAGAAGCGGUACCAACAGAAGAAGUGACGGCUAAAUACGUGCCAGCAGCCGCGGUAAUUC